AGAGUUUGAUCCUGGCUCAGGAUGAACGCUGGCGGCAUGCCUAAUACAUGCAAGUCGAACGAAGUCUUUAGAAAGCUUGCUUUUAAAAAGACUUAGUGGCGAACGGGUGAGUAACACGUAGGGAACCUGCCCAUGUACCCGGGAUAACAGAUGGAAACGUCUGCUAAAACCGGAUAGGUAUAGACAAGGCAUCUUGACUAUAUUAAAGGACCUUCGGGUGUGGACAUGGAUGGACCUGCGGCGUAUUAGCCAGUUGGCGGGGUAACGGCCCACCAAAGCGAUGAUACGUAGCCGGCCUGAGAGGGUAGACGGCCACAUUGGGACUGAGACACGGCCCAAACUCCUACGGGAGGCAGCAGUAGGGAAUUUUCGUCAAUGGGGGGAACCCUGAACGAGCAAUGCCGCGUGAGUGAAGAAGGCCUUCGGGUCGUAAAGCUCUGUUGUAAGAGAAAAACGGUAAUGAUAGGGAAUGAUCAUUAAGUGAUGGUAUCUUACGAGGAAGCCACGGCUAACUACGUGCCAGCAGCCGCGGUAAUACGUAGGUGGCAAGCGUUAUCCGGAAUGAUUGGGCGUAAAGGGUGCGCAGGCGGAUGUAUAAGUCUGAAGUAAAAGCCAUCGGCUCAACCGAUGUAAGCUUUGGAAACUGUAGAUCUAGAGUGCAGGAGAGGACAGUGGAAUUCCAUGUGUAGCGGUAAAAUGCGUAGAUAUAUGGAGGAACACCAGUGGCGAAGGCGGCUGUCUGGCCUGUAACUGACGCUGAGGCACGAAAGCGUGGGGAGCAAAUAGGAUUAGAUACCCUAGUAGUCCACGCUGUAAACGAUGAGAACUAAGUGUUGGAGAGAUUCAGUGCUGCAGUUAACGCAAUAAGUUCUCCGCCUGGGGAGUAUGCACGCAAGUGUGAAACUCAAAGGAAUUGACGGGGGCCCGCACAAGCGGUGGAGUAUGUGGUUUAAUUCGAAGCAACGCGAAGAACCUUACCAGGCCUUGACAUGGCGUUAAAUGCCCUAGAGAUAGGGAGAUAGAAAUAAUGCACACAGGUGGUGCAUGGUUGUCGUCAGCUCGUGUCGUGAGAUGUUGGGUUAAGUCCCGCAACGAGCGCAACCCUUGUCGCAUGUUACCAGCAGUAAGAUGGGGACUCAUGCGAGACUGCCGGUGAUAAACCGGAGGAAGGCGGGGAUGACGUCAAAUCAUCAUGCCCCUUAUGGCCUGGGCGACACACGUACUACAAUGGCGACUACAGAGGGAAGCGAGACAGUGAUGUUAAGCGGACCCCAAAAAGGUCGUCCCAGUUCGGAUUGAAGUCUGCAACUCGACUUCAUGAAGCCGGAAUCGCUAGUAAUCGCAGAUCAGCAUGCUGCGGUGAAUACGUUCUCGGGCCUUGUACACACCGCCCGUCAAACCAUGGGAGUCGGUAAUGCCCGAAGCCGGUGGCAUAACCUAGAAAUAGGAGUGAGCCGUCGAAGGCAGGACUGAUGACUGGGGUUAAGUCGUAACAAGGUAACCAG
rnacentral:rRNA from 2 species